UACGUAGGAGGCAAGCGUUGUCCGGAAUUACUGGGCGUAAAGCGUGCGUAGGUGGUUUGUUAAGUCUGCUGUGAAAGCCCCGGGCUCAACCUGGGAAUGGCAGUGGAUACUGGCAAGCUAGAGUGCGGUAGAGGGGUGUGGAAUUCCCGGUGUAGCGGUGAAAUGCGUAGAGAUCGGGAGGAACACCAGUGGCGAAGGCGGCACCCUGGACCAGCACUGACACUGAGGCGCGAAAGCUAGGGGAGCGAACGGG
rnacentral:rRNA from 1 species